GAUGAACGCUGGCGGCAUGCCUUACACAUGCAAGUCGAACGGCAGCACGGGUGCUUGCACCUGGUGGCGAGUGGCGAACGGGUGAGUAAUGCAUCGGAACGUACCCUGGAGUGGGGGAUAACUAUCCGAAAGGAUAGCUAAUACCGCAUAUUCUAUGAGUAGGAAGGCGGGGGAUCUUCGGACCUCGCGCUCUGGGAGCGGCCGAUGUCAGAUUAGCUAGUUGGUGGGGUAAAGGCCUACCAAGGCUACGAUCUGUAGCGGGUCUGAGAGGAUGAUCCGCCACACUGGGACUGAGACACGGCCCAGACUCCUACGGGAGGCAGCAGUGGGGAAUUUUGGACAAUGGGGGCAACCCUGAUCCAGCCAUGCCGCGUGAGUGAAGAAGGCCUUCGGGUUGUAAAGCUCUUUCGGCCGGGAAGAAAUCGCCAUCUCUAAUAUAGGUGGUGGAUGACGGUACCGGAAUAAGAAGCACCGGCUAACUACGUGCCAGCCGCCGCAGUAACAC
rnacentral:rRNA from 1 species